UCUAGUUUUCCGCAAGAAAGGGUGUAAUCAGAAUAUCGAGUUAGUGAACAACAUUCCGCAAUGUACGGUAUUACCGAUUCUAGGGAUUACCUUUCAGUCUAACGGCAAAUACAGUGAACAUGUGCGUUCCAAGUUAACAAAGGCAAAUAAGUGUCUUUACAUUUUAAGAUAUUUAAGAAAGGAAGGAAUUUGUCAAGAAGAACUCGAUCACCUCUUUAAGUCUAUUGUCCUUCCUAAUUUCACUUAUGGCUUGUCCGUUUUUGGUGCCUCAGACUCGGAUCUCACAAACAUACAGAACUUCCUAGAGAGAUGCUUUAAAAGGAAAUACAUUUCAAACAUUGUAAACAUCCGUAAACUUCUAGAGGAGGCAGAUAAGAAGAUUUAUCGUACUCGCUUAGAUCAACCUGAAUAUCCUCUGAGCAAAAUCCUGCCUAAGAAAAAAGACCAAAAAUACAACCUCAGAAAAAGAAAUGUGAUUUAUCCUAGGGUUCACUCAGAGCGAUUCAAAAAUACUUUUGUCAAUAGGCUUGUCUUUAAAUAUAGUGACAUAUAAUUGAUGUAGCGCAUUUACUUAUAAUCGGUUUCUCCUACAUUUUGUAAACUUAGACAUGUUGAUUUAUCUAAGGCAAUAAAGAUUAUUAUUAUUA